AGGUGUAUGGACUUAGCAAAACCAGUCAUAAUGAUUUUUCUAUAUCAAAACCAGCCCUAACAAUUUUUAUACAACUUUUAAAUAAAAACAGUGGAAAAUACAAUAAAUAAGUCCUCUAAAUAAAGCUGUGGUAUGAAGUUUAAAUGCCCCAAGUCAGAAGUCAAUUGGAUGUCUCUGUCUGAGCUGAGAGCACAUGACAUACAACGAAACCACAUGGACAGACACAACCCCGAAUGCCAAUUCCAGUGUCCUGUGCAGUGAUGACCACACUGUUAGAAGCAUUUUAACUCUUGUUUUUACAAACUUUCUUUUUACAUAUAUGUUAGCGGUCAAAGAACUCUGUUUUUCUUGGUCCAAACCAGAGGAAAUUUAUUGUCCAAACCAGACCCACCCCAAUGCAUUUGCCUCUGAUGUGAGAAAGAAACACUAGGGCUUCAACCAGAUGAGGGGCAUUUAGGAAAACCCACAGCUAAAGUCACAUUCAAUGCGGAACACUGGGCACCUCCCCCUAAGGUCAGGAACAAGACGAGGGUGUCCGCUCUUAUUCCUUUCAGCCUCGGCACUGAUGGUCCUAGGGCAACUCUAUGUUGACGCCUCUGAGGAACUGCCGGGCUGCAGUGAAUCCAGGUGACCUCACAGAAACUUGUAUGUGAGCAUUCGCAGCGGCAUCAUUCACAGUGGCCAGGAGGUGGAAACAACCCCGAUGUCCAUCAACUGAUGAACCAACCGAUGAACACAGGGUGACCUGUCCAUACAGUGGGGUCUCAGCCACAGAGGGAGCAAGGCCGUGAAACCCCCAGCGAGAGCGAGGCGCGGAAACCCGCAGCGGGAGCGAGGCGCGGAAACAGGCCAUGACACGGAUGAGCCACACCAUGGAUGACCCCACGGACACGCCACCAAAGCACCAUCAUGCUGAGUGACAGAAGCCAGGCACCCAGACCAUGCACUGUAUGAUUCCUUUCACGUGAAAUUUCCAGAACAGGGAAAUCCAGAGCGACAGAAAGCAGGGUCAGGCCCCGUUCGGAGAGAUUGCCAUGGUUCUGAGAAACGCAUCAUUUGGCGACUGGUCAUCAUGCAAACAUCCUUGAGCGCACUCACACAACCUGGAGGGUGUAGCUCACUGGAUGCCCAGGCUACGUGGAGUAGCCCAUUGCUCUGGGGCUACACACCCGUACAACGUGUUACUGUGCUGAAUACACUAGGCAACUGUGACACAAUGGAGAUCACAGAAGCCCAACAGAGAGGCCUGGGGCAUGUCAACGUGGUCCUCAUCGGACUGGCCAAUGGUUCCUUCCUAACUCAACCAAGGGCCACUGCGCCACCCCAGCUGUGGGACCGUAUCUCUGGAUGAUAAACUGAGUCCAACACACACACAACAGAACCCAAAAGAAUGCCCAGAAUGCCAAGAACAGUGAACAGGCAUAUGCAAAUGGGCAAUACUGAUGUUAGCUUUAAAAGUAAGGAGUUCAGAGUGCUCUGUGCUGAACAUCUUUCGGUGUAAUUAAGUCUUCAUAUUCCUGAGGAGGAGCUACUGAGACACCCUACCAAGUCCUCGGCUGUGCCUGGAGGUUAGAAAACGAACCACAUAGUCCUGUAAUGACAGAAAAAAUUGAAAACUGUAUUUUAAAAAUGAUUGCUCAACAAGACCAGCCAGCCACUCAACCACUUCAGUACCUCGUUUCUGGAUGAAGACCCUGAGCAGGGGAUUUGCACUAGAAACCGCCUUGCAGAAGUUGUCAUCAUUGUUGAUGGGCAGCAGGUCUCCGUGCACAUCUGCAUAGCCAAUAGUUACAUCACUGUUGGAGAUAUGGUGGGUGUGCACAACCAGCUUGUAGAAAUCUUCAAACUUCCCAGGCUUAUGACGGUCCAGAGAGAACCUUCGGAAUUCCGCCCCAAACUACAAUGCAAGAGACGGGGUGGGGUGGGGGGGGGCAUUAAUAAAUACCAGAGAAAUAUCCAG
rnacentral:antisense_RNA from 1 species